UACUAUAUAAAAAUAAGGUAAUUAAGAAUAUUAAUAGAUAUAUCUUAAAAAUUGAAGAAUUUGGCGGUAAUUGAUCUUAUCUGAGGAAUUUGUUUUUUAAUUGAUAAUCCUCAAAGAAUCUUACUUAUUUAAAAAGUUUGUAUACCAUCAUAGAAGAUGAAUUUUAGAGAAAUUUAUUAAAUUUUAUAAUUUAUAGAAAAUAGAUCAAGGUGCAGCGUAUAAAUAAGUUAAAAUGAGUUACAAUAAAUUUAAAUUUAAAUGGAAUAAAUAUAGAAUUAUUUUUAUAAAGGUGGAUUGGAUUGUAAUAUAGUUUUAAUAUGGUUGUAUGAAAUAAGUAAUAAAUUAU
rnacentral:rRNA from 1 species